rnacentral:rRNA from 1 species
CCCUUAGAUGUCCUGGGCCGCACGCGCGCUACACUGAUGCAUGCAACGAGUUUAUAACCUUGGCCUGAAAGGUCUGGGUAAUCUUUUGAACGUGCAUCGUGAUAGGGAUAGAUUAUUUCAAUUGUUAAUCUUGAACGAGGAAUUCCUAGUAAACGCGAGUCAUCAGCUCGCAUUGAUUACGUCCCUGCCCUUUGUACACACCGCCCGUCGCACCUACCGAUUGAAUGGUUCGGUGAAGAUCUCGGACUUCGAUAUUUAUUCUUUAUUGAGUUUAUAUUGUGGGAAGUUAUCUAAACCUCAUCAUUUAGAGGAAGGUGAAGUCGUAACA